GAAUUUCCGGUAAGUUUGGUUGAGCUGAGUUUUAUUUCUCUUUUUUUGUUCAAACGAUGCUUGUAUUGUUUUAUUUAUUUCUCUUUUUUCUUUGCCAAAAUCAUGCUUGGUUGAGCUGAGUUUAAAUAGAUAAUGAAACUGCCCAAGGUAUAUAUCCAGCUCAAUUUGUGGAUUAGAGUUUGGAACUUUGAUAUCUUAAUUGCUUGCCGAAUUUCUUGCUGAAUUUCAU
rnacentral:lncRNA from 1 species